CACAACAAGGAUCGGUCUAGAUGUCGGCAGAGAAGCAAAGGUCGGAGCGAGACCCUUAGGCACAAAAUUUGCGGGCAUCCCCCAGGGAAACCCGACUGGCAUAGUCGGAGCGAAAUGAGCAGUUGCGGCAGGCACAGUUAAGGAAGCGAUCUCUGAGAUGACCGUCCUCUGGGGAGGAGUUGCAGGUGUUACAGAAGACUGGCUCUGAG
rnacentral:lncRNA from 1 species